rnacentral:misc_RNA from 1 species
GAUGAAGAACGUAGCGAAAUGCGAUACUUGGUGUGAAUUGCAGAAUCCCGUGAACCAUCGAGUCUUUGAACGCAAGUUGCGCCCGAAGCCACUAGGCCGAGGGCACGCCUGCCUGGGCGUCACACGCCGUUGACCCCCAUCUACUCCUUCGGGAUUGCGGGGGGGCGGAUGAUGGCCUCCCAUGCGCCUAGCCGCGCGGUUGGCAUAAAUACCAAGUCCUCGGCGACGCACGCCACGACAAUCGGUGGUUGCGAAACCUCGGUUGCCCGUCGUGUGCGUUCGUCGCGCAUCGAGGGCUCGAAAAAAUGCUCGGCUCCGGCUGGGCUUUCAACGCGACCCCAGGUCAGGCGGGGUUACCCGCUGAAUUUAAGCAUAUCAAUAAGCGGAGGA